rnacentral:rRNA from 2 species
AGCUACAUAUUAAAGAGAUUUAUUUAUAUAAAUAGGCUUGCUAGCUGAUUGUAUAUAUAUGCUGGCCGUAUUUCAUAGCAAGCUCGCUUUUAAUAGGCAACCAGUAAUAUGAGCAAUUCUUUACCUACAAGCCUAUAAUUAUAUUAACUCUAAGAGAAAUCUAAUAAUAAACGGAGUGAAUUGAAAUAUCUUAUUAACUUCAGGAAAAGAAAUCAAAAGAGAUUCUAUGAUUAGCGUGAGCUAAAAUAGAGUAGCCUAGAAAGUCAAAUGGUGGAUAAACUGUUUAAAUUUAAUGGGGAACCUUCCUCAAAGGCUAAAUAUAAUAUGUAAGCGAUAGUGGAAAGUACCGUGAGGGAACCAAAACAAAAACAGUGAUUUUAUAAGCAGUUCGGAAAAAUAAAAAAGUUAGAACGUACCUUUUGCAUAAUGGGUCACCAAGUUAACAUUAGAUGCGAGAUUCUACGUAGUUAAACCGAGCGUUAAAAUAACGGUAAGUGUCUAAAGUUAGACCCGAAGCCUGGUGAUUUUACCAUAAUCAGGAUUAUAAAAGUCCGAACGGAAUAUUGUAGCAUAAAUAUCCGAAGAAUUAUGGUAGGUGUAGUGAAAGACAAUACUGACCAGGAUAGCUGGUUUUCUGCGAAACCUAUAACAGUAGGCAAUUUAAGUAUAAUAUCUUAGCAGGUACAGAAUUUAAUCUCAGACAAGACAUAAGGCUUAACUUGUUAACAAGUUAAGCCCAUGUUUUAUUUUGUACAAAUUGGGGGAUCAUGAAGAUUUUAUCAGUGAGUAUGUAGACUCGGAAUGGCAAAGAUAUAUCUUAAAUCAUCAGACAUAGAAUGAUAAGGUUGUAUGUCAAAAGGGAAACAGCCCAGAACAAGAGUUAAGGUUCCUAAAUUAUUAGUUGAGUGAAAUUAAGAAGGUUUUUAUUAAAGUCGACAAGGAGAUAGGCUUAGAAGCAGCCAUAAUUUUAUGACCUCGUAACAGAGCGCUUGUUAAGUUUUAAAAGCAUCGAAAAUUUAUCGGAUCUAAACAAUAUACCGAAACCUUGUCCAUAUUAUUUUAUAAUUAAUAGUCUCAGCAAGCUCGGACUAUACAAUUAUAAUUAAAUGGGGUAGCAGAACGUUGAGCUAAAUUAAGAUUUUUAUUUUUUAAAUGAAAUUAUAAUAAUUUAACUCAAGUGAUAAUGGUGACAUGAGUAACUAAAAGAAAAUUUUCCGCCUAAAGCUUAUGGAUGUAAUUAAGUAACGGCCUCUAAGUUUAUGGAAUCAAAAGAUUAAAACGAUGAGACAAUCUUUCAUACUAAGGACGACAUUUUAAGUGCAAAAUGUACUGGAAAAAUAGUAAUAAGUUUAAGCUAUGGCUAGAACUAGCUAUAGCUGUAAAUGGAAAGUAACCGUACCUAGAAUCUGAAACAAGUAAGCUAGUAGAGAAUACGAAGGCGUAAAUGAGCUAACAAUCAUAAAGGAACUCGGCAAAUUGACUACCGUAACUUCGGGAUAAGGAGAGCUCAUUAUUCUUGAUUAAUAUCAGGUAAAGAGGAAGAAGCAUGAAAUAGUGUUGUACGACUGUUUAAUUAAAACACAGCACUUUGCUGAAAGAUUAAAAAUCUAAGUAUAGAGUGUGAUGUCUGCCCGGUGCCGGCUGGUUAACAGAUAUAAUUAAAUAUACUAAUAUUUGAUGUAGACGGAAACCCCGGUUAAAGGCGGCCUUAACGUGAGGGUCCUAAGGUAGCGAAAUGCCUUGGCCGUUAAAUGCGGUCUUGCAUGAAUGAUGUAACGAUACAACAGCUGUCUCUAUGAUUGACUCAGUGAAAUUGGAAUAGCUGUGCAGAUACAGUUUACCUCUAGUUAGACGAGAAGACCCUAUGCAGCUUUACUGUCACUAAUUAUAGAGUAUGAUAAACAAUUUUCAGUUUAUAAGGUAAUUGACGGCCGGCUUGCUUAGCAAGCUGGCUCUAUGACAAUGAGAAUCCUUUAUUUUUUUUUCAUAUGAAUGAAUUGGUUUAGGACGAGCUUAAGCUCGUAGUAAAUCAACCUAAUUCAGCUUAUUUUCCUUUCUGCUGUAAGCGCAUAAUGAUAGAUUAUACUUAAAUUUGGAUUUAUGCCUGCAGAAAUAGAUAAGUACCCUUGGUUAAGGAACUAUCGCUAGGGGACAGUUUAUGUGGGGCACAGACCCUGUAAAGAGUAAACAGGAGUGUCUAAUAAUUUAUAAUUAUUUUGUUUGCGAUUUAAGGUAGUAUAACUAUUUUUAAUCAUAUAAAAUUAUUUAUAUGUACAUUCGUUGUAUAUAUAUUUAAAAAAAGGUAGGAUUUUCACUAUAUAGAAAUUAGAGAUAAUAAAAAUAUUAAGUAGUAGCUGCUGAGUCCUAAUCCCGCCGAAGGGGGGAUAUGGACUACUAUGUAUUUCAUAGCAAGCUCGCACUAAUAUUUUUUAACUAUUAAGACUGGCUAUCUAGCUAUGCUCUAAUAGUUAUGUUUUAAUUAUCUAAAAAGCUCAACGGCUAAAUCUUGCCUUACUGUUUGAUUAUCAACAAAUCUUACAGUUGCGUAAGCAGGGCAUAGGAUCACAAGAUGCAACAAGGAAAGAUCUUGGAUUAUUGGAAAAGCUACGCUAGGGAUAACAGGCUAAUUUGCGCAAGAGUGUACAAAAUGAGUGCGCGGUUUGGCACCUCGAUGUCGGCUUAACUUAUCCUCAUGGAUGCAGGAACUAUGUAGGGUGCGACUGUUCGUCGAUUAAAAAGUUACAUGAGCUGGGUUAAAUACGUCGUGAGACAGUAUGGUUUCUAUCUUCUAGGGGGAAUUAGAAUAUAAUAAGAACUAACUUUUGUACGAAAGGAACAAGAAGAAUUUAAUUUGUAAAAGGGUUAAAUAAUAGUUACUAACCUAUGGUUUACCUGUUGUCUAUGUGCCCAAAUAUUAAAAUAUAGGAUAAAAAUUCUAUAUAUCUGUAUAGCUUUAGCUAUACAUAGGGAUGUUUCUUUCACUAAGAUAAAUAUAUAGCAUAGGCACGGCAGGAAAGCUAAGUUGGUUAAGGAUAAGUGCUGAAAGCAUAUAGGCACGAAGCUUAUCUUAAGAUAUUUCUUAAAUAUACGUAAAAUAUUAUUACGAAGGAUUAAUAUAGGCUUUAUCCGUACGAAUCUGGAGAUUUUUAAGAAUAAAGUACUAAUUUUAUAAAUAACUAUUUAU